GGAGGGGGAGCUGGAAAGGGUUGGGGGAGGGAACUGUGGCCUUAAGAGAGAAAAGAAGAAUGCGGACCCCUCCGUCCAGGGCUGGAGAGGCCAGGCCUAAAAAGGAAUAAAGAGGCGAGGCUCAGAGAGAAGGAGAGAGGGAGGGGCGUAAGGACCCCAAGCCCAAGGAGAAUAAAGGAGGAGAGGGGGAUGGAGAUUUCAGACCCAGGGAGCAGAUGAGGAAGGGGUAGAGAUCCUAACCUUAGUGAGGGAAGGGGAAGGAGCUGAAGUCAUCAGCCUCAGAGGAAAAGACAAGACCCCUUCCCUCCCCUCAAAUCUGUGGGAAGGAAAGGAACUGCCAGCCGUACUGAGAGGAAAUGGAGGCCCACCUUACUUCAAUGUGAUAAGCUACUUCAGGAUCCUGUGGAAAAGCUGCAUUAUAAUCGAUAGCCUCAUAAAUAAAUGAAGAGUCAACGCAGCCUGUCUCCUCCAGCUCAGGGCAUCUUCAGGAAAAUCGAACCUCGAGCCACUUCUGCUCACCCAUUCUGGAUUUCUACAGAGGCCUCCAGAGGGAAGGAAUCUUACAGGUCAUCCUGAGCAUCCCCCUGCCUCUGGGCUGGCCUGCCAUGUACCCCAUCCAAGGAGGUCUGCUUGCCACCCCUACCCAGGAAGGCCUGCCCUCUCCUGGCAGACUCCCUUCUCCCAGUCCCCUGGGGCUCUCACUGUGAGUUCUUGCUCACCUUCAUUCUCUUGCUCCUGGUGAACUCCCCCUCUCCUUUCCACCCGGGCCAUUUGCUUCUCACCACUCCUGAUUUCUGACUAUUGCUUGGCACCAAACAGGAUCAGCAGCAGGAGGAAGGGAGUCACUCCCCACUCCUCUGGAGUCUCCUCUCCAUACUCACCCCUCCGACUUCUUGUCAUCAAUUGUAAAUGGGCCCCUUGGGAUCUGACAGAGUAUGCAUUUCUGGAAGCAAUGGACAAAGACCCUUGUAACUUUACAGAACAGAUACGUGCCAGUAAGUUGACUGCAAGGCAAUCCUUCCUCUCUCUGCCUUCUAUUACAUCACUGGAGAUGUUCUUCUCGUGGGAAAAAGGAAAUCUCCAACAAGGAAGUUCAAUAUUUUGGAAUCCAAAGACCAAGAGGGUGGUCAGCCCUGUGUGGUGAUGGGCGUCAGCCUUCUGGGUUCCUUGAAACACCUCAGGACCUCUCCUCUGUUUGAUGCCUUGGUUUCCCCUCCGCUUCCCUGGCCCAGACAGAGAACACUCCCAUGGCUAAGGAUUCUUAAGCGCUGCUUGGGUAGUUAGCAUGGAGAAAGGAGUCAUCUGGUUGUGACAGCCCUCUGUAUUCGUAAUUAUUGACCACCAUGCUCCAGUUGAUCCCUGGGGGCUGAAAACUCCUUUAAUUAAAGGUUUCUGACUACAAGAUACUAUAUCCC
rnacentral:lncRNA from 1 species